CAAAAGUCCCAAAAUUACAUCUCUAGUAUUUGCUAUAUCAUCUUAGCCAGCCCUGGUGGCAAAGACACGGUAGGUGGGUACUGCAGGACACAACUUUCAGAGGACACCCAGGUGCUUGGAAGGAUGUCAGUCACUGCGGGCCUGUGGAGUACGUGAGUGUUGUUUACCUACUGCAGAUGCUCAGCUAUGGAUGUGAAGCUGCCAGAGCCCUAGGUCUGAGAGCUGCACCAACAGACUGUCCUUUUAGAUCAACUGAUACAUGCUUUUGUAUAGCUGACGGGGCCUGAAACCUAUGUGGGAUGGUGAGAUUUCUGAUAAGAAUAUCUCCAGUUUUUCCUGUUUUACGACCACUGAACAAUGGCAGCACUAAACCACUGCUCAAACCU
rnacentral:lncRNA from 1 species